CAAGCCUGUAGCACUCGUCUCAGACCAGUCUCUUUUGUAGAGAGGGAUGAGUUUGGGCAUCUUGUGCCAAAACGGAGAAGGCCAAAACUUACCAAGGCAAACAUCUCCAAAGCUACAACGAUUAACAGUCCAGCUAUGUCAUCAUCUUUGGAGUCUGGGCAAGUAGACAUUGAUCAUGGUGAAAUUCCAUCACUGCCUUCUCACACUGUAUGGCCAGCAGUUGAAGAUAUAG